AGCCCAUAGCACAGGGCAAAGAGACACCUUGUUGGUGGUGAUGUUCUUAUUUCAAUCAGUGGCAGAGCAAAUGUUCUUUGUUCAUCCAAGCUUGAUGACUGGCUUGAUAGAUAAGCUGUCUUAUGCCUAGGAAUUAUAA
ensembl:snoRNA LOC120101264 small nucleolar RNA SNORA48